UGCGGCUGUACAGAGAGUAUUUAACUAUCGAAUUGACUGCAAGAUGAUACGAAGCCUAGACUUCAUUACGCCAUGUAAUUUGUAAUGUUUGUCGUAUUUGCUAAUGUCGAGAUGUAGUAAAAAAGACGAUAAAAAUCACGCCUAGAACUCGCUUGCAGAUUUUACAGUCGGGAUGUGUUAUUAUUAUAACGGAUUAAGCGCGUUUUGUGUUUAAAAUCCUGACAUCAAACUACUACCAAGCUUUCUUCGAGCCGAAAAAAUCCGCCGCUUCGAUACUUGUGUGUAAGCUUGAAAGAGGUAAAAUAAGGUUUUUUAAAAACUGCGGAUCACAGGAGCGUCGGUUGUAAAAUAUACAUGAUCGCUGCGAUACGUUAUGCAAUUGGUGUGGAUCACGUGUCGCAAUCGCUGAAUUGAAUUUGCAGUCGCACGGGGUAGAGAUAAUCUCAAGGAAAAUGCUGAUGCUGAACGAUGAAAGGCGGAGAAAGAAAACACGGACAAUUCGCAUCAUGUUUCCACGAGUCCAGCUCAGAGUUGUGCAUGAUACUUAUAAUUGUCAGUUACUCUGGCCAAUAUGGUAAAGCGUUGACUGAAGAAUAUAAAGACGGAUACCUUUGUCUGGUGGGCCUGGGAGCAUAGGAGGGUUCUGCUUUAUCGACUCUACGUAACGAGCAUGCAGCCGCCACGGAGUAGCAGCCAAAGUAGCGUCGGUAUGGAAGCUUGAGAUUAAUUACAUAAGCCGAGGUGGUUAGCGGUGGUCGUUGGAGGUGGUUGG